rnacentral:rRNA from 1 species
GGCGAACGCUGGCGGCGUGCUUAACACAUGCAAGUCGAACGAUGAACCCGGAGCUUGCUCCGGCGGAUUAGUGGCGAACGGGUGAGUAACACGUGAGUAACCUGCCCUUGACUCUGGGAUAACUGCUAGAAAUGGUAGCUAAUACCGGAUACGACCCUCGGCGGCAUCGCCAGGGGGUGGAAAGAAUUUCGGUCAAGGAUGGACUCGCGGCCUAUCAGCUAGUUGGUGAGGUAACGGCUCACCAAGGCGACGACGGGUAGCCGGCCUGAGAGGGUGACCGGCCACACUGGGACUGAGACACGGCCCAGACUCCUACGGGAGGCAGCAGUGGGGAAUAUUGCACAAUGGGCGCAAGCCUGAUGCAGCAACGCCGCGUGAGGGAUGACGGCCUUCGGGUUGUAAACCUCUUUUAGUAGGGAAGAAGCGAAAGUGUCGGUACCUGCAGAAAAAGCACCGGCUAACUACGUGCCAGCCGCCGCAGUAA